GACGAACGCUGGCGGCGUGCUUAACACAUGCAAGUCGAACGGAAAGGCCCUGCUUGCAGGGUACUCGAGUGGCGAACGGGUGAGUAACACGUGGGUGAUCUGCCCUGCACUUCGGGAUAAGCUUGGGAAACUGGGUCUAAUACCGGAUAGGAGCCAUCUUUAGUGUGGUGGUUGGAAAGUUUUUUCGGUGUAGGAUGAGCUCGCGGCCUAUCAGCUUGUUGGUGGGGUAAUGGCCUACCAAGGCGGCGACGGGUAGCCGGCCUGAGAGGGUGUACGGCCACAUUGGGACUGAGAUACGGCCCAGACUCCUACGGGAGGCAGCAGGGGGGAAUAUUGCACAAUGGGCGCAAGCCUGAUGCAGCGACGCCGCGUGGGGGAUGAAGGCCUUCGGGUUGUAAACUCCUUUCGCUAGGGACGAAGCUUUUUGUGACGGUACCUAGAGAAGAAGCACCGGCUAACUACGUG
rnacentral:rRNA from 1 species